GACGAACGCUGGCGGCGUGCUUAACACAUGCAAGUCGAACGGACUUUAUCGAAUGAAGUUUUCGGAUGGAAUUUGAGAAGAGUUAGUGGCGGACGGGUGAGUAACGCGUGAGGAACCUGCCUUUCAGAGGGGGACAACAGUUGGAAACGACUGCUAAUACCGCAUAAUACAUUCGGAUGGCAUCGUCUGAAUGUCAAAGGAGCAAUCCGCUGAAAGAUGGUCUCGCGUCUGAUUAGCUGGAUGGCGGGGUAACGGCCCACCAUGGCGACGAUCAGUAGCCGGUCUGAGAGGAUGAACGGCCACAUUGGGACUGAGAUACGGCCCAG
rnacentral:rRNA from 1 species